rnacentral:rRNA from 1 species
UACGAAGGGGGCUAGCGUUGCUCGGAUUGACUGGGCGUAAAGGGCGCGUAGGCGGUUCGUACAGUCAGACGUGAAAUUCCUGGGCUCAACCUGGGGGGCUGCGUUUGAUACGUGCGGACUUGAGUGCGGAAGAGGGUCGUGGAAUUCCCAGUGUAGAGGUGAAAUUCGUAGAUAUUGGGAAGAACACCGGUGGCGAAGGCGGCGACCUGGUCCGAUACUGACGCUGAGGCGCGAAAGCGUGGGGAGCGAACAGG